AGCGAACGCUGGCGGCAGGCUUAACACAUGCAAGUCGAGCGGGCCCUUCGGGGUCAGCGGCAGACGGGUGAGUAACGCGUGGGAACGUGCCCUUUGGCUCGGAAUAACCCUGGGAAACUAGGGCUAAUACCGGAUACGCCCUUAUGGGGAAAGGUUUACCGCCGAAGGAUCGGCCCGCGUCUGAUUAGCUUGUUGGUGAGGUAAUGGCUCACCAAGGCGACGAUCAGUAGCUGGUCUGAGAGGAUGAUCAGCCACACUGGGACUGAGACACGGCCCAGACUCCUACGGGAGGCAGCAGUGGGGAAUAUUGGACAAUGGGGGCAACCCUGAUCCAGCCAUGCCGCGUGAGUGAUGACGGCCUUAGGGUUGUAAAGCUCUUUUACCCGGGACGAUAAUGACGGUACCGGGUGAAUAAGCCCCGGCUAACUUCGUGCCAGCAGCCGCCGUAA
rnacentral:rRNA from 1 species